rnacentral:rRNA from 1 species
CCUACGGGAGGCUGCAGUGGGGAAUAUUGCACAAUGGGCGCAAGCCUGAUGCAGCCAUGCCGCGUGUGUGAAGAAGGCCUUCGGGUUGUAAAGCACUUUCAGCGGGGAGGAAGGCGUUAAGGUUAAUAACCUUGGCGAUUGACGUUACCCGCAGAAGAAGCACCGGCUAACUCCGUGCCAGCAGCCGCGGUAAUACGGAGGGUGCAAGCGUUAAUCGGAAUUACUGGGCGUAAAGCGCACGCAGGCGGUCUGUCAAGUCAGAUGUGAAAUCCCCGGGCUCAACCUGGGAACUGCAUUCGAAACUGGCAGGCUAGAGUCUUGUAGAGGGGGGUAGAAUUCCAGGUGUAGCGGUGAAAUGCGUAGAGAUCUGGAGGAAUACCGGUGGCGAAGGCGGCCCCCUGGACAAAGACUGACGCUCAGGUGCGAAAGCGUGGGGAGCAAACAGGAGUAGAUACCCUUGUAGUC